rnacentral:rRNA from 1 species
UACAGAGGUCUCAAGCGUUGUUCGGAUUCAUUGGGCGUAAAGGGUGCGUAGGUGGCGCGGUAUGUCGGGUGUGAAAUUUCGGAGCUCAACUCCGAAACUGCAUUCGAUACUGCCGUGCUUGAGGACUGGAGAGGAGACUGGAAUUUACGGUGUAGCAGUGAAAUGCGUAGAGAUCGUAAGGAAGACCAGUGGCGAAGGCGGGUCUCUGGACAGUUCCUGACACUGAGGCACGAAGGCCAGGGGAGCAAACGGG